UGAAACGUUAAAAUAACUGCACUCUACUUGUUAGUAAAAUAGAAAUUUCCAAAAAAAAAAAAAAUUCUUGCGCGUGCAACUUUUUUUUUAUUCCGCGUAAAAAAAGACCUAUAAAAGUAGGCUACCUUCGCUUAGUUUAGAAAAAAAAAAACUCACCCUCAUACCACUGUAUUGCCGCCACUCUCCGGUGACGAUAGCCGAUCAAAACCUAAACCCCAAAUCAAUUUCCCCGCCGAUCAUGCACUGCUCUUCCCAUUACCGAAUUCUUGUAAAUUCUUAUUUAAGGAAAAAAAAAAGGAAGAGAUUGUUGUCUUUUUGAAUAUUCAAGAAUGUUUUCUUUUUCAAAAGAAAAUUAGGUUCUUAUUUUCGUGGUGUGUGUUAAGGAUGUUGAAGAAAUUAGUUUUAACUUUUCAGGUCAGUAAUGCAGUUCGCACAGGGGAUUUGAGUUUUGUUUCAGAAAAACUGUAUCUGCAGACAAGAUGGUGAAGAGAAACUGAAAUUUACUGUUUGAUUCCAGGAAACCCUAAAUUGAUUAAUUUUCUCGUUGAUGUCAAAUUGGUAUUCUUCCAUGCACUGGUUUUAAAGAAAAUAUUCAAGAAACUGUUGUCUAAGUUACAUUGGUAUUCAUAGGAAAUUGUUGUUUUCAAGAAUAUAUUGGUAUAGAACUUCAAGAAAUCUUUUCUUUUUUAAGAAAAUCAAAGAAUUAUGUUGUCAAAAAAGCAUGUUUACAGAACGACAAAUGUUUGUAACUUGGAAUUUAUGACUGUUGACAAGAACUGCUGUUUGCUAACAAGGACUGCUGUUUGCUAACAAGGAUUUGUUGGGAUUUUUCUUUUUGCAGUCAUUGUAUUUUACAACCAACCAGUCCGAAGGAAGCAAAUGCACUCCAAGUACUUAUAGUUUUUUCAGAAUCAAUCAAGUAAAACAUGUUGAUUUACAUACUUUACUUCUAAAGCUAUACUCUGAUCUGAUUGUUCUUUUGGUUUCCAUACAUAAUCUUGAAGUUCAAAGAGGGUUUUGCAUUCUCCGAAAGAGUCUCUGCUAAGAAUCACCCUUUCACAUCCCAGUGUCUUCUUCAAGUUGUUUAUAUUGAAAGGUCUUUGAUAAACUAGCUAGUAUAAGGAUAUGUCCUGUCUGUUUUCUUGAUUUGUAAUUAGCAUGCAAUGAGGACCUGCUUUGCGCGCGUGCUUCUGCUUCCUCUUGGGCUGUUGUCAAGCGGGUUUGGGGUUCAUCUGAGUUCCCUUAACAAAUUGAAUGCAAGAGUUGGUCCAUUCAAGCUGUAAGGAUACAUCUCAGGUCUUGAUGUUUACACAAUAAAGGUAUAAGGGUAAACUACUUGCUGGCUGUUGCCAAAUAUGCCCGUGAAAACAGGAUACCUUACCUGGGCAUAUGUCUAGGAAUGCAAAUUGCUGCUAUAGAGUAAGCUGGAUCGUUUCUUGGGUUGCUAGGUGCGAACAGUUCAGAGUUUGAUCCCAACACUCAUGUGUAAUUUUCAUGCCAGAACUUAAGUAUCCCCUUCAUCAUGAAUUUCCCUCAUGAUCUUCAUGUGUUUUAGGUCUUAUUUCAGAAGCAUAUAUUUGUCUGUAGAUCACGUUCACAGGGUUCAGAAACACAUAUGGGUGGUACCAUACGUCUUGGAUCAAGAAGAAUGUACUUCCAAGUUAAAGAUUCUAAAUCUGCAAAACUGUAGUACUUCCUUUCCUCCAACCUCAUUGCAUUGGCUGUAUCACUGUGUGUGAAGGUCUUAUCUGGACUAAUGAGGACAACUAGCUAUCUUGAUUCCAAGCAAGAAUUGGUCAUGCCUGAAAUUGGCUACCAAUUACUACACAACUGUACUGACCAAAUUCAGAACUGGGUUUGGAUCUGCAACAUUCAUUCACAGGCUUCAAGAUCAUUUACCAGGUAAGUUGCUAUCUUUGUCUGGAUUUUUAUUACACAACCAGUUUGUGGAACUUAGUGAAAUUGCCAUUCACCAGAAUCCAUUGCACUAAAUUUUGCAAAAUUCAUUUAAGUUGUUCCUAACUCUGAGCAUGAAGUAAUAUGUUUUGGUUAAAGCAGGAACUUAAAUCUUAUUCACAAGAAACCUACAUUUGUCACACUUCUUGAGGUAAUAUUCUCUACUAGUCUGUGUCAUAUUAUUUAUUCAAAUGGAGGUACAUGCAAACCAUUUGCAAAUCAGUCUUAAAAGGUAAAAGGUAUUAUAGUACUCCCUCCGUUUCAAAAAGGAUGGCCUAGUUUGACUUGGAACGGAGUUUAAGAAAAGAAAGAAACUUUUUAAUCUUGUGGUUCUAAAUUAAAGUUAUGUCAAAUGUACCAAAAUGUGGUCCUUUAAUCUUGUUGUCUUAAACAUUGCCAUGUGAAAAGUUAAAGUGUUUCCAAAAAAGGAAAGGGGUCAUUCUUUUUGAAAUAAACUAAAAAGGAAAUAGGGUCAUUCUUUUUGAAACGGAGGGAGUAUUGAUUGUAGUUGUUAAUGAAGGAUUCAGGAACUCAUGUUCACUAUUAGGAAAUAAGAAUUGGGAUUACGAAUUAUUGGGGAUAAAGCUACGCUGAGGUAGUAUAAAUACACAAGGGUUGGGAUAGAUUGCUCACCUAUAUUCUCAAACCUCUUACUACUCUUCUUAGGUUUAUUCACUUCAAAUGUUGCUCCCUCUUGUAAGAUAUAUGCCUGUCUCUGGAAAACGAAGCAUGACAAACACCCUCGCUCUUGUAGGAUAUAUGCCUGUUUCUGGAAAAUGAAGCAUGACAAACACUUCUUCUCAGGCUAGUUAUUACAUCCUGAGGUAUCAAUAGCACAAUUAUCAGUUCUGUGCUCCUUCCUGUUGAAAGCAUGAAGGAUUUUCAAGGGUUUAGGCCUUUCAUGUGUCAUUGCGCAUGCUCUCUUUAGGUGCAUUUUAUGUUUUAAUUGAGAUAAUUAUAGAAAAUGAAUUACUAAUAGUAACUUCUAAGGGAAGAGCUUUUCUUUUUCUAGUGCCAUCAGUUACAAGAUUCUCUUGCAGGUGUUCCAUAAGAAAAUAGUUGGUGCUUAGGUAACUUUUAGACCAGCUUUCGGAAACAGUAUAUGUGCCUGUUUCUUUCAUCUUUCGUUAUAUUUCCUUUUGUCUGGACAUUCGAACUAUGGUGUUCCCUUCUUCUGUUGAAUAUACAGAAGCAAUCCCCCUUUUUCUCCUUUUCGUAUGGCUCCUCAAAAACUUCUCCAAGUGACUUAAAAAGCAAACUUUCUCAGGCAGCUAGUCUCUUUGCCUUGGUGGAUAGUGCUGAGUUCAAAUGAUGCCAUACAGCAGUCAUUAUGGAGCUUGCUUUGUUUCCUCAGGGCCCUCAAAAAAACACGGGCAACUACUUUAUCAUGGGAAAGAAGGAAUCAUUCCUUCAAUGACAGUCAACUUCACUAGAACCAUGGACCGGGAGUGAGGUCAUUUCUGCUAUUUUGUACUUUCUUUUGAAGGAUCUGGUUCUCACGAGAUGGACUGGUGCUGAUGGGAGAAAGAUAUGUGAUGAUGACCUACUUUGUGUACAUGCUUCUCCUUCUCCGUUGUCGCUAUUGCCCAGUGGUUUUCGGAUUCAUUUGAGUAACCUCAACAAAUUAAAUGCAAGUGAUGGUUCAUUCAAACUCUCAGGAUACAUCUCACUUCAGAUUUGGAGGUUGGAAGCACAACUUUUGACCUAUUAAAUAUGCCAACACUGUUGAUCUUUGACAUUAUUCUAGAGACUCAAGGUUUAAGGAUAGUUUUUCAUGUAUCCUUUGUUUCAAAAGGCAUCACCUCCUUUAGGUUAGAGUUUAUUGACACCUCCUUUAGGUUAGUGUUUACUGAGUUAGUAUCUUUUUUCUUUGAAAAAUAAAAGAGGGAACUAUAUUAAUGACUUUGAUCUUAGAGGAAGUAACUUAGUUUGAACAUUUAACACUACUUUAAUGUUCUAACAGGGUUAACAAAUACUGGAAAUCAUUAAGUAGAAUGAGAGGAUUAGGAAAAGCUAGAAUAGGUUCUGAAGAAGUGACAAAAAGUCUUCUUUUAUCUUUGAUGAGUGGAGGAAGUUUCCUCCUCAUCUAUUGCUAUCCCAUUCCCUGCUCCUCUUUACCGGUAUACCUGUGAACUAUGAGAUCAAGAAAAAGAGGUGCAGGGCCCAGAGUUUCAAAGCUACUCUUGAGCUUCCUUCUCCUGCAGCCAAAGAAACUGACUGGAGAGUGCUUGUCAGGAGGGAGAUUCGAUGUUUGCAGUCUUAGUAUUCAUCAAGGCAUUAGAGAUUACAAUGUCUUUUUUCUAAGUGUCAUAGUCUCACUCGAAUUCCAUCUUGCUUAUGUUCUCAUCCUGUGAUAGAACUGUCAUGCCUUCUAUUUUCAUUCAAAUUUUCAGAAUUUGCACCAACAAAAACUUAGUAUCUUAGAUUCUGAUCUUGACGUCUUGCAUUUUGGUUGGUGAUUCUUUGGUUCCUGAUACCAUUGAUAAAAAACUGCUUGGAGGGUGCCAAAGUUCUCCAGCAGGUUGAUAAAAAUUUUAUUCCGAUUGUGGCAGGCAUGCCACUUGCUAUAAUUGAUCAGGUCUAUUCUGGCCUUUGCAUAGUCCAUUAUGCCUGUUCUUGGUUUCUCGUAAAUUUCCUUAUAAUGCGUUUACUUUAAAUAAUUGUUUUAUCUUUAGGGAUUGUUUUUUGUUGGACUCAGUAGCAAACAUAAAAACUCAGCAUAAACUUCCACAUAAAUAGUAUAAUAUUUGUUGGCUGCGUAAGUCAUAGUAAUAACUGCAUAACUAUGUAUCAUUCAGUUAUACGCAUAAGAAAAUAUAAGCUCGACAGGACAUAUGCAGCGUCUGGUUGGUGGUAUUAACUUUCAUUAUUAAUAUCCUUGUGACUUAUGUGAGAAUCUAUAUGUUAUUUACGUGGGAUGGAAUAUGGAAUAAGAAAACACAUGCCAACAAUGCACGGAUGAGUAUUUACAGGCAAAAAUUCCCUUUAUAGUAGAUAAUCCCCGCAUAGCAUAUCUUAUUUACUAUUCACUGCGCUAAAAUCCCUUCAUCAUCAGUUACUGCAUAACAAUUUUUACAUUAUUAUCACUGCAUAAACAUUCCCUCUAUGAUUCUUACUUAACCAAAUAAUUUCUUAACUCUUUUGUAUUGCUGUUUUGUGAUAUUACUGAAGAAAAGGAUUAUGAUCUUUUGUUUGAUUCUACCAUUUAUCUUCGCUGAGCAUUACACCCAUUAUCAUGUUCUACAGCAUGAUGCAGAUGAGCGAAUUCGAACUGUAUGAAAAGGUAAUGAUUGUCUAAAAACUCAUUGAUGUGUCAUAUCAACAUGGAAUCUUUUAAGUGAAUUAUUAGGUCCUAUCUGGACAAAAGAGGACAACAACCUAUCUUGAUUCCUAGCAAGAAAUGGUACGUUUAUGGUCAUCUAAUGUGAAAUAGAUUUGCCCUGUGCUGCUGUUGGCUAUAAGGGAAAGACUUGAAACUCUUUUUCCUCGGCCUUUGACAUGCCUUUGCAGGUCAUACCUGAAACUAAUUACCAAUUACUACACAACUAUGCUGACCAAAUUUUAAAACUGGGGUUGGAUCUGCAACAUUCAUUCUCAAGCCUCAAGAUCAUUUACUAGCAUUCAUUGAAGUUGAACCUAACUCUAGCAUGAACUGAAAAGUAACGGUGACAGCCAAUUCAAAAGUAAACACACUACUAGCUAAACAAAUUGAGGCUGUGACACUGAGGUCAGUUGAAGUUAAUUAUUCUUAAUAUAAUAUAUAGCAAGUGUUAAAUGCUUAAACUGCCUAUUACUGUUGUUCUUUCAUUAACUACACACACUAUUAUCCUGUAUUAUGUAUAAGUCCUUUGUUUUUGACAAGAUUGGAAAAUCUUGAACUGACCUGAAUUUGAUUGAUUUUUUUUCGUCUGUUGGGUAAUUUUUUUGCUUUCUGCUUGUGGGUUUAAACCUUGAUGCUCUCUCGCCUCCACCAACCCCCACAUAAGCAAAAGAGAAGGAACAAGGUGCAUAUGUUUGGAGAUGCAUUGUCGCCUUCAGAGUGUAGCAAUAAUUCAUCACAUUGAAAUAUAAUUUGGAUCUAGAGCACAAUACAUCUAAUACAGAUUCGACAAAUAAAUGUACUUUACCCGAUUACAGAUCCAAUCGUACCAUUUCUGUAAGUUUAUCUAUUUAUACCUACUUAGAGAUACGAUUAAUAUUGUCAAACUCAAAAUAUACACUCCAUGGGAAGCACUAAACACUAUAGGUAAAUCGAUAUUGAAUUUACAUUUUAUUGACAAAAAGUUGUAUUUUUCUUGAAUCAUUUAUUUUCUUCUACUUUUUCUGA